rnacentral:rRNA from 1 species
GAUGAACGCUGGCGGCGCGCCUAACACAUGCAAGUCGAACGAUUAAAGCACCUUCGGGUGUGUAUAAAGUGGCGAACGGCUGAGUAACACGUAGGCAACCUGCCCCUUUCAUUGGGAUAGCCACGUGAAAGCGUGGAUAAUACCUAAUACUUAGUGUCUUCCGCCUGAAAGACUCAUAAAAGCCCCGGCGUCAGGGGAUGCUCGCGCGUCGUGCUAGCUUGUUGGUGAGGGAACGGCCGACCAAGGCUAUGAUGGGUAGCGGGGUUGAGAGCCCGACCAGCCAGCUUGGGCCUGCGAGACGGCGCAGACUCGUACGGGCGGCGGUAGUGGGGAACCUUGCACAAUGGGGGAAAGUCUGAUGCGGAGACGCCGCGUGCGUGAUGAAGGGCUUCGGGUUGUAAACCGAUUUCAGAAGGGACGAGGCGAAAGUGACGGUACCUGAAGAAGAAGCCACGGCUAACUACGUG